GACGAACGCUGGCGGCGUGCUUAACACAUGCAAGUCGAGCGGUAAGGCCCUUUCGGGGGUACGACGAGCGGCGAACGGGUGAGUAACACGUGGGUGACCUGCCCUCCAGCUCUGGGAUAAGCCUGGGAAACCGGGUCUAAUACCGGAUAUGACUCCAUGACGCAUGUUGUGGGGUGGAAAGCCUUGUGCGGCUGAGGAUGGGCCCGCGGCCUAUCAGCUUGUUGGUGGGGUGAUGGCCUACCAAGGCGACGACGGGUAGCCGGCCUGAGAGGGCGACCGGCCACACUGGGACUGAGACACGGCCCAGACUCCUACGGGAGGCAG
rnacentral:rRNA from 1 species